CAGGCCAGCCUGGGAGGAGGACAGGGCUCCCCGGGAGAGCAGCUCUCCCCCAGAGCUCUACAGGGUGUCCACGGUCCAGCCGCUGCAGACUGAUGGCAGCCAGUUAUCUGCCUAUGAAGAGGAAGAGGAAACCAUGCACUGCAUCCAGGCUUUCCUCACGAGCACCGAGAAGGACGAGACCCAGAAGAUGCGUUUUCUCCAGAGCAUCCGCAUGAUCUGCAGAGCCACCAGGCACAAGGGCUCGUCACAGGGCCUGGAUAUCUUCUGCCACGGAGAUGAGCUGGC